CAUGUAAGCUACAUGCAGUUGAGUCUAGAUGACAGGUCAAUGAGGACAAGAACAUGUAAGCUACAUGCAGUUGAGUCUAGAUGACAGGUCAAUGAGGACAAGAACAUGUAAGCUACAUGCAGUUGAGUCUAGAUGACAGGUCAAUGAGGACAAGAACAUGUAAGCUACAUGCAGUUGAGUCUAGAUGAAAGGUCAAUGAGGACAAGAACAUGUAAGCUACAUGCAGUUGAGUCUAGAUGACAGGUCAAUGAGGACAAGAACAUGUAAGCUACAUGCAGUUGAGUCUAGAUGACAGGUCAAUGAGGACAAGAACAUGUAAGCUACAUGCAGUUGAGUCUAGAUGACAGGUCAAUGAGGACAAGAACAUGUAAGCUACAUGCAGUUGAGUCUAGAUGACAGGUCAAUGAGGACAAGAACAUGUAAGCUACAUGCAGUUGAGUCUAGAUGACAGGUCAAUGAGGACAAGAACAUGUAAGCUACAUGCAGUUGAGUCUAGAUGACAGGUCAAUGAGGACAAGAACAUGUAAGCUACAUGCAGUUGAGUCUAGAUGACAGGUCAAUGAGGACAAGAACAUGUAAGCUACAUGCAGUUGAGUCUAGAUGACAGGUCAAUGAGGACAAGAACAUGUAAGCUACAUGCAGUUGAGUCUAGAUGACAGGUCAAUGAGGACAAGAACAUGUAAGCUACAUGCAGUUGAGUCUAGAUGACAGGUCAAUGAGGACAAGAACAUGUAAGCUACAUGCAGUUGAGUCUAGAUGACAGGUCAAUGAGGACAAGAACAUGUAAGCUACAUGCAGUUGAGUCUAGAUGACAGGUCAAUGAGGACAAGAACAUGUAAGCUACAUGCAGUUGAGUCUAGAUGACAGGUCAAUGAGGACAAGAACAUGUAAGCUACAUGCAGUUGAGUCUAGAUGACAGGUCAAUGAGGACAAGAACAUGUAAGCUACAUGCAGUUGAGUCUAGAUGACAGGUCAAUGAGGACAAGAACAUGUAAGCUACAUGCAGUUGAGUCUAGAUGAAAGGUCAAUGAGGACAAGAACAUGUAAGCUACAUGCAGUUGA